rnacentral:rRNA from 1 species
GACGAACGCUGGCGGCGUGCUUAACACAUGCAAGUCGAACGGAAAGGCCCUGCUUUUGUGGGGUGCUCGAGUGGCGAACGGGUGAGUAACACGUGAGUAACCUGCCCUUGACUUUGGGAUAACUUCAGGAAACUGGGGCUAAUACCGGAUAGGAGCUCCUGCUGCAUGGUGGGGGUUGGACAGUUUCGGCGGUUGGGGAUGGACUCGCGGCUUAUCAGCUUGUUGGUGGGGUAGUGGCUUACCAAGGCUUUGACGGGUAGCCGGCCUGAGAGGGUGACCGGCCACAUUGGGACUGAGAUACGGCCCAGACUCCUACGGGAGGCAGAAGUGGAGAAUAUUGCACAAUGGGCGGAAGCCUGAUGCAGCAACGCCGCGUGCGGGAUGACGGCCUUCGGGUUGUAAACCGCUUUCGCCUGUGACGAAGCGUGAGUGACGGUAAUGGGUAAAGAAGCACCGGCUAACUACGUG